GCUGCACGAAUGCAGCGAUCUGAGCAUCUGUGGUGACCACAGAAUGCGAGGAACUGGGCUCUGCUACCGGAGGUGGGGGAAGAGCAUCUUCUUGACGGGAAGAAUGUCUCGCCGAUUUGGUUGAAUGUUGGGCUUUGAUUUUCGAUAUGAUUGAUUGUAGUAUUCUCCUACCUCACACGUCAAUCUGUUGCAGCUAACUCCCUGC
rnacentral:lncRNA from 1 species